rnacentral:rRNA from 1 species
GACGUAGGGCGCGAGCGUUGUCCGGAUUUAUUGGGCGUAAAGAGCUCGUAGGCGGCUUGUUGCGUCAGCUGUGAAAACCCGCAGCUCAACUGUGGGCUUGCAGCUGAUACGGGCAGGCUUGAGUUCGGCAGGGGAGACUGGAAUUCCUGGUGUAGCGGUGAAAUGCGCAGAUAUCAGGAGGAACACCGGUGGCGAAGGCGGUUCUCUGGGCCUUACCUGACGCUGAGGAGCGAAAGCGUGGGGAGCGAACAGG